rnacentral:tRNA from 1 species
GCCCGGCUAGCUCAGUCGGCAGAGGAUGAGACUCUUAAUCUCAGGGUCAUGGGUUCAAGCCCCUCGUUGGGUG